UUUUGAACUCAAGGUUAAAUCAUCACCUUAUUGCUAAAUCCGUCAGUUGGUUCAGGCAAACCGUCUAUCGAUUCAGUUCCAUUUAUAAAAGCUGGGUAUUACACAGGACUAAGAAAUUGGAAUGUUACAAUGUCUAUUGUUUUUGGUGUUGAUGGAAAAGGACUUAACCAAAGGGAUGGAGUGUAUACUGUUUUUUUAGAUGGAGUGUAUUUACUAUCAAGUGCUUUGGUUACUUAAACAAAUAAGAGUCAAAUUUUCAUUG